GCCUGGGUGGCUUGGUCGGUUAAGCAUCUGACUUCAGCUUAGGUCAGAUCUCGUGGUUCGUGGGUUCGAACCCCACUCGGGCU
rnacentral:tRNA from 1 species